CCCUUAGAUGUUCUGGGCCGCACGCGCGCUACACUGAUGCAUUCAACAAGCCUAGCCUUGACCGAGAGGUCCGGGUAAUCUUUGAAACUGCAUCGUGAUGGGGCUAGAUUAUUGCAAUUAUUAAUCUUCAACGAGGAAUGCCUAGUAAGCGUGAUUCAUCAAAUCGCGUUGAUUACGUCCCUGCCCUUUGUACACACCGCCCGUCGCUCCUACCGAUUGAAUGUGUUGGUGAGGAGCUCGGAUUGGCAGCAGUUGGUGGUUCGCCACCGGCUGUUGCUGAGAAGUCCUCCAAACCGCCCCAUUUAGAGGAAGGAGAAGUCGUAACA
rnacentral:rRNA from 1 species